rnacentral:piRNA from 1 species
UAAAGGGAGCCCUAAAUGCAGUCUGACACC